AGGCCAUUGGCUUCUGUUUGGCCUAAUUAUAUGUUUUGGUUAAUUGGGUCUUAAUGUUUUGCAAGAUGAUCAAGAAUGCAUGGAGGAGAGUAAGCCAUGAUGACAUCUUUGCAAGCGUACUAUCUCUGCACGUUGAAGAAAAGAAAAAAUCGGAAAAGAAAGGGGAAAAGAAAAGUAAUUAACUUUUCUUCUUAGUUCUUCUUCUUCUUCGUUUUCUCUCUGUUAUUCAAACCCUAAUGAAAUUUCUUAGGGUUUUUGGCAAGUAAAUUAUGCACAUACACAACAAUGUGAAGAUGAGGGAGAUGAGAAGAGAUGAUACACAGAUUUACGUGGUUCGGCCAAUGAAGCCUACAUCCACAGAAAGUAUCGUUACUUAUUCUUGAAGAUAAGUACACUAGAAUGCUUUACACUCUUCUUUUUCUUGUAGAUGAGAAGCUAAUUUUGUGUGUAGUUUGUUAGAAAACACCUUUACAUAUUUAUAGGUGCUUACAAGACAUGAGCAGUUAAAAAAAAACUGUAAUACUUAUGCUUUUGUUGGAAUUCAUUCUAUUUUAGAAUCUCCAUAUUGAAUCCAACUUGAAAUGAGUUUGAGAUCCUUCCUUCUUACUCUUUACCUUUUGAUCUAUCCUUUUUCUGGUAGGUCGAAACCUAUCAGCUUGAGAUACUUCUGGAGCUUCAUUGUAGAGACUAGUUUGGUGAGCUUAUUGGCGGCGUUCUCAGGGCCAUAAUAUUUUGCAAGAAUGCUUGGAGGAGAGUAAGCCACGAUGACAUCUUUGCAACCGUACACGCGUGAGGAAGAGAUAACUAUCUUUGCACGUUGAAGAAAAGAAAAAAUGAUGCACACACGCAACAAUAUGAAGAUGAGGGAGAUGAGAAGAGAUGAUACACAGAUUUACGUGGUUCAGCCAAUGAAGGCUACAUCUACGAGAAGGAUCGUUUCUUAUUCUUGAAGAUAAGUACACUAGAAUUCUUUACACUCUUCUUUUUCUUGUAGAUGAGAAACUAAUUUUGUGUAGUUUGUUAGAAAACACCUUUACAUAUCAAGACAUGAGUAGUGGAAAAAAAAAAUUGUAACACUUAUGCUUCUGUUGGAAUUCAUUCUAUUUUUCAGGUCUGUCUUUCUUUAUUUUCUCCAAAGGAUAUUGUGUAUGUUAGUCUAAUGGAAGUGGGUAGGUGGUUUUUGGUCA